ACCCGGCCUUCGGCUUCUGCUUCCUCCUCCUCUCCUUCCUGAAGCCUUCUCCCUAGACAGGGAUCUGAGAAGCCGGGGCUGAGGAUUCCCAGCUGUGGGGGCUCCAUCUGGCUCUCCUGUCUCUGACUCUCCAAGGACAAGAACCAUCUGGAGGGAAGGGCCUGGGUGGCCUAAAGACAAGAGGAAUUUCCAUAUCCACUGUGAACCCUUCAUUU